rnacentral:misc_RNA from 1 species
UUUCCGUAGGUGAACCUGCGGAAGGAUCAUUACAGAGUUCAUGCCCUCACGGGUAGAUCUCCCACCCUUGAAUAUUUAUACCUUCGUUGCUUUGGCAGGCCGUGGAAACACCAUGGGCUCCGGCUUAUGCGUGCCUGCCAGAGGAAACAAACUCUGUUUUUAGUGAUGUCUGAGUACUAUAUAAUAGUUAAAACUUUCAACAACGGAUCUCUUGGUUCUG